rnacentral:tRNA from 1 species
CGGGGUAUGGCGCAGUUUGGUAGCGCACCUGCUUUGGGAGCAGGGGGUCGCAGGUUCAAAUCCUGUUACCCCGAC